CAGAGGAGCCAAGCGUUGUCCGGAUUGACUGGGCGUAAAGCGCACGCAGGCGGUUUGGCGCGUGGGGUGUGAAAUCUGGCCGCUUAACGGCCAGGCGCCAUCCCAUACGGCUGGACUGGAGGGCUGCAGAGGUCGAUGGAAUUGCCGGUGUAGUGGUGAAAUGCGUAGAGAUCGGCAGGAACACCCAGGGGGAAACCAGUCGACUGGGCAGCACCUGACGCUGAGGUGCGAGAGCGUGGGGAGCGAACCGGAUUAGAUACCCGGGUAGUCCACGCCGUAAACGAUGGCCACUCGGCCUUUGGGGGCGGAACACCGUCUCUGGGGGCCUUAGCAAACGCGGGAAGUGGCCCGCCUGGGAACUACGAGCGCAAGCUUA
rnacentral:rRNA from 1 species